GUCUGGGUAGUAUAUAAUAUUACAUUACCUUUUCAAGGUAAAAAAGAACAGAGUUCCCUAGAUU
rnacentral:tRNA from 1 species